AGGAUUAGGGCCAAAUCAAGGAGAGAAAAAAAAAAAAAAAGAAAAAGGACGACGAGAUUAAAACCGUACUGGUACUACAAGACUAAACUCAUUACAUAGCGUAACCGCUACGCACAUUACGUACAUGUACCGUAGCUGAGCGCUACGACGAAGCAUCAAUACAAAGCAAUCUAUUGAUUAUAAUUUUAUGUAGAUGAGCCAAAAGAUAACGUGUUUCUUUAUUUAUGAAGCAAAUUAUAAAAUAUAGGCUCAGGAAAAGCACAAUAUCACCCGAAUACGCUAUGACGUCACUUACGGCGUACGUAACGUUAUAUUGACUUGGAACAACAGCGUGCAUCUCGAGAGCGGUGGUGAUUCUGUACUUCUGGAUUGUUUCAAAAAGACGUUUUGGUGCAUUGGCAUCAAAUUACAAUCAAUAUAAAGAGUCAUACACGUCGUGGCUCCCAGCCAAGUUCCCGAUUUUCUUGUUUAUUCAAUUCCACCGAUCCAAGAUGGCAAAGAACUUGUUGGAAAUUGUGACUUUCCUGAGACGUCGGAGUGUAUCAGAGGAAACAAUCAAUUGGAUUGAACAGCAAAAGAUUGACAGCGAGGUCAUCCUACUGAUGGAAGAUGCUCAACUGGCGAAUUAUCUCCCAUCAUAUGGAGACAGGAUUGCUCUCUUUAACUUUUGCAAUCACCAACCACAGUCAUCAAAGCGAAAGCAGGGACUAUUUGAAAAGCUAAGUGAGAAGCUCAAACUUAGAAAGGAAAACCAUACAGAGAGUGAGGAAGCAAUCACCUCCAAUAAAACAAAAAGACCUAAACCAAAAACAAGAAAGCUUGAAAUAGGGUGGAUUCACACUGAAGGCCAACUGACCUAACAAAUCAGAGCAAAACAAGGCGGAGGGACAAGAAAGAUCUCAAUUCGAAGUGAAGAAGGUUAUAGUGAGAUACUAAAACAAGGAAAAGUCACUUUUCUUUCGAUACUUUUCUAGUCGAUAUUUUGACGACAGAUGUUGCUGUCUGAUUCCAUUCAGUUUGAAAUACUCAAACUGUUCUUUUCAAAAUCACUCCAUGAAGGGAAUACUGUAUUCACAUAAAGAUAAUCAGAAACACAAUUGUUCAAUACCAACAUUUACAGUUUUACUACGUUAAAUGUACAGUAGUCUGCUACUGCACCAUAUUUACAUAGAUGAGUUUUACUGUUACACGUACAGUAUAUGUCACAUUACGAUGUUGUGUACGAUGUUACAGUUAACCUUUAAAGAAGACCAGUAUUACAAUGCUACAUGUAAACAGUAUAUGUAACUGUGUUACAAAUCAUUCUUAUUAUUUACAAUUUACCAUUAUAUACCAUGUUAUAUGUAUAUUUAUGUAACAUUGGCUUGGUAAUGUAACUGUUUAACAGUUAAUUGUGCUAUUUACAGAUAAUGUGAAUCAUUGCUUAAAAUUUCACUGCUUCUUUCUUGGGGACCUUGGCUGAGUGAACAUUUCAAAGGGUCGCUCGCAUUUGUU